GAAUGGUUGCACAGGGUUUCCUGGGGUGCAGCCUCCUACUGCUCCUUACUCACAAGCUCCUGAGGGGUCCACAGCCAGCACCUCUACCUGAGCUCCCAGCUCGGGGCUGCAGGGACACGAAGGUCUCCUUGGCGUCCCCAAAGCUUUCUAGGGCAAUGGGAGAAUUAAAAACCAGGCUUAUGUUAGGAGGUGGAUGGUGCUAGAUUCCGCAUAGCUCAGACUUUUAUUUUUCAGGAGCUCAUCCUCUUACACCAGUUCAGCUGUACUCUCCUAGCUUCUUCCUGUCACACCCGAAAGGAAUUCCUAGCCCUUUUGUGAGUAUGAAGGGUGCCAGGGCUGCACACUGCCCUGCGUGGCAGCUGCGUGACUCGGGAGUGACUCCCUUUGCUCCUCUAGAAGCAUCGAUGUUCCAGCAGGUCACUGUUGCUCCAGCCAGAUUCACAGGCUCCAGCCAACUCUUCAGGGCCCGAUGUGAGCUCGAAUCUCAAGCCAGGACAAAAGGGGCAUUUUUGCCCAUGGAAGAAAAGAAUAAGCUUUAAUGUCGGCAGCACAGAUGUAUGGAAUUCCACUGUCUGGAAUCGCUACGGUUACUGUGAGACGUGAUGAUUAAGGAAACAAGGGCCUUGCCCGGCGCUUCUACGCAGACCUCCCCAGUGGAAGGAGGCGGCUUUCCGCGGCAGGUCUCUAAUCCCAAGGGCAGCACAGGCACACAUUUUUCUCAAAAAUUCCCUGGGAAGAGGGAAGCAGGGG
rnacentral:lncRNA from 1 species